rnacentral:rRNA from 1 species
UACGUAGGGUCCGAGCGUUGUCCGGAAUUAUUGGGCGUAAAGGGCUCGUAGGCGGUUAGUCACGUCGGGAGUGAAAACUCAGGGCUCAACCCUGAGCGUGCUUCCGAUACGGGCUGACUAGAGGUAUGCAGGGGAGAACGGAAUUCCUGGUGUAGCGGUGGAAUGCGCAGAUAUCAGGAGGAACACCGGUGGCGAAGGCGGUUCUCUGGGCAUUACCUGACGCUGAGGAGCGAAAGCAUGGGGAGCGAACAGGAUUAGAAACCCUUGUAGUCC